CGGUAAUUCCAGCUCCAAUAGCGUAUACUAAAGUUGUUGCAGUUAAAAAGCUCGUAGUUGGAUUUCUGCGGGGACGGAGCGGCCGGACGCAACUUGCGUCUCGAGCUAGCGCUUUCCCCGCAUCCUGCCGCGAACCGUGCUACCAUUAGCUUGGUGGCGCUGGGGAUCGGCUCGAUUACUUUGAGAAAAAUAGAGUGUUCAAAGCAGGCCACACGCCUUGAAUAAGUUAGCAUGGAAUAAUGACUAAGGACUUCGGUUCUAUUUUGUUGGUGUUCGGGACUGAAGUAAUGAUUGAUAGGGACAGUUGGGGCGGUCUGUAUUCCAAAGCGAGAGGUGAAAUUCUUAGACCUUCGGAAGACAAACAGCUGCGAAAGCGUUCCGCAAGGAUGUUCCCUUUGAUCAAGAACGAAAGUUGGGGGAUCGAAGACGAUCAGAUACCGUCGUAGUCUCAACUAUAAACUAUACCAGCUAGGGAUCGGUCAACGUUUAAUCAUUCGACUUGAUCGGCACCUUAUGAGAAAUCAAAGCAUCUGGGUUCCGGGGGGAGUAUGGUCGCAAGGCUGAAACUUAAAGGAAUUGACGGAAGGGCACCACCAGCCGUGGAGCCUGUGGCUUAAUUUGACUCAACACGGGAAAACUUACCAGGUCCAGACAUAGUAAGGAUUGACAGAUUGAUAGCUCUUUCUUGAUUCUGUGGGUGGUGGUGCAUGGCCGUUCUUAGUUGGUGGAGUGAUUUGUCUGGUUAAUUCCGUUAACGAACGAGACCCCAGCCUGCUAAAUAGCGCGGUUGAGCUUUGCUCGAUGCGAGCUUCUUAGAGGGACUAUGAUGCGCGAUAGCACAUGGAAGUUUGGGGCAAUAACAGGUCUGUGAUGCCCUUAGAUGUUCUGGGCCGCACACGGGCUACACUGGCGCCUGCAACGAGCAUAUCAGCUGGCCCGAGAGGGUCUUGGCUAAUCUUUUGAACCGGCGCCGUGCUUGGGAUUGACCAUUGCAAUUGUUGGUCAUGCAACGAGGAAUGCCUUGUAAACGCGAGUCAUCAGCUCGCAUUGAAUACGUCCCUGCCCCUUGUACACACCGCCC
rnacentral:rRNA from 1 species